UACGGAGGGUGCAAGCGUUAUCCGGAUUCACUGGGUUUAAAGGGUGCGUAGGCGGGUAUAUAAGUCAGUGGUGAAAGCUCCGGGCUUAACUUGGAAACUGCCAUUGAUACUGUAUAUCUUGAAUAUCGUAGAGGUUAGCGGAAUGUUGCAUGUAGCGGUGAAAUGCUUAGAUAUGUUACAGAACACCAAUGGCGAAGGCAGCUAACUAUGCGAUGAUUGACGCUGAGGCACGAAAGCGUGGGGAGCAAACAGG
rnacentral:rRNA from 1 species